rnacentral:rRNA from 1 species
GACGAACGCUGGCGGCGUGCUUAACACAUGCAAGUCGAACGGAAAGGCUCCAGCUUGCUGGAGUGCUCGAGUGGCGAACGGGGGAGUAACACGUGGGCAAUCUGCCCUUCACUCUGGGAUAAGCCUGGGAAACUGGGUCUAAUACCGGAUAGGACCUUUCUCCUCAUGGGGUUCGGUGGAAAGUUUUUCGGUGCCGGAUGGGCCCGCGGCCUAUCAGCUUGUUGGUGGGGUAAUGGCCUACCAAGGCGACGACGGGUAGCCGGCCUGAGAGGGUGAUCGGCGACAUGGGGACUGAGAGACGGCCCAGACUCCUACGGGAGGCAGCAGUGGGGAAUAUUGCACAAUGGGCGAAAGCCUGAUGCAGCGACGCCGCGUGAGGGAUGACGGCCUUCGGGUUGUAAACAUCUUUCAGUAGGGACGAAGCGCAAGUGACGGUACCUGAAGAAGAAGCACCGGCUAACUACGUG